GCCAGCAUGGUGUAGUGGCUUGAAUGUUCGACUAUGACUCUGGAGACCAGGGUUCGAUUCCCCUUGUCCAUG
rnacentral:tRNA from 1 species